GUUUCCUGUGGGUCAGCUAGCACCGGCGCCUCUGCCCCUCCCCUGCUCCGGACCCAGGCUCCCCGCCUUACCCCCCGCCCCCCCAGGGCGCCCCGAGGUCUCACCACGUCUCAGCCGCCCUUUGAUACAUGGGGGUUGUGCGGGGCGGGGGGCAGGGGACCCGCCCUCUCUCCAAACACUAGCAGGGCCGGGGCGCCUGGGCAGGCACGUGUCCGGGCACAACCCGCUGCCCACGCUGCCCCCCCACUCCCGCCCCCCCGCUCUGGCCAGGACACGUCGCUCUCUUACUUGGGUGGGGUGGGAGGAGGGGAGAGAAAGCUGGAAAUGGAAAGCAGCGCCCCCCACCCCUCUGAAUGGCCAACCUCGGCCAGCGGUGCGCACUAGGUUUCUACCACACAGCGACCCCCACUCUGCUCAGGGCAGGUGCGCCGGCGCCGGCGGCAAGACCGCUGGUAGGUCGAGUUCUUAUCACCCACCCUCGCACUGGAGUUGUGAGAGCAAAAGCUGACUUUGAAAAGGUGGCGGUGGGCCUGAGGCUUGAGAGACCGGAAUGUGAUUGCGGAGCGGGAGGGGCAGAGGGGUCGUCCUGCUGAGCAGCACUACCGCUGGAGAGACGGCGCGGCUCUGGAAGCGCAAGAAACCGAAUAGUCCAGCCGGAGUCUUACUAUAUCGCUCCUGCUGUUCUCCACCUCCGGGGAUCAAACUGCCCACGUCAGCUUCCGGAAUCGAAGGGAAGAUAGAUGUGUGUGUGCUACCCACCUGGCAAGCCCUAAAGUUGAGAUGUGGAAAAGUGGGUGCACUGAAUGUCUGUUCUACUAAAGAGUGUUGUUCUUCUGACCUUGGGAUGAAUCGCUUCCCUUUUUGGGCCUGUUUAUUCAAGUUAAUGUGAAAUAAUUCCCUUUAACAUUAGUUAUCUUCCCUA
rnacentral:lncRNA from 1 species